rnacentral:rRNA from 1 species
UACGUAAGGGGCGAGCGUUGUUCGGAAUUAUUGGGCGUAAAGGGCGCGUAGGCGGUGAUCCAAGUCUGGUGUUAAAGACCGGGGCUCAACUCCGGGGUGGCGCUGGAAACUGGGUGACUUGAGUUUGAGAGGGGAAGCUAGAAUUCCUGGUGUAAGGGUAAAAUCUGUUGAGAUCAGGAAGAAUACCCGUGGCGAAGGCGAGCUUCUGGUUCAAAACUGACGCUGAGGCGCGAAAGCAUAGGGAGCAAACAGG